CCUGCCUCUAGAAGCAUUGCAGGUGCGGCUGCUGUGUCUCUUGUGUCAGUAGGUGGUAGAGAGGAGAGAGGCUAUGUCUGCCAUCAGCUCAGUGUUCUGACCUGCGAACAUCUGAUUGACUAGUAACCUAGCACU
ensembl:snoRNA